AGGAUGAACGUUGGCGGCGUGCCUAACACAUGCAAGUCGAACGGUAGUCGCAAGACUACAGUGGCGCACGGGUGAGUAACACGUAGCUUACCUCCCUCUCAGCGCGGGAUAACGACUCGAAAGAGUUGCUAAUACCGCAUAAGCUCACGGGUUACAGAGACUUGUGAGAAAAGGUGCAAAUCACUGAGAGACGGGCUGCGGCCCAUCAGCUAGUUGGUGAGGUAAAGGCUUACCAAGGCGACGACGGGUAGGGACCUGAGAGGGUCGACCCCCCACACUGGGACUGAGACACGGCCAGACUCCGUACGGGAGGCAGCAGUGAGGAUAUGCACAAGUGGCGCAAGCCUGAUGCAGCGACGCCGCGUGGUGAGUGAAGGUCUUCGGAUCGUAAACGCCUUUGUGCGUGACGAGACGAGGACGGUAGCGACGAAGGAUAAGUCUACGGACUAACGUACG
rnacentral:rRNA from 1 species